GGCCCCGUGGUGUAAUGAUUAGUGCUCUGAACUUUGAAUCCAGUGGUCCCAGUUAAAAUCUUGGUGGUGCCA
rnacentral:tRNA from 1 species